CAAUGGACAUGAAUCUGAACAAGCUGUGGGAGAGUGGAGGACAGAGGAGCCUGGCGUGCUGCAGUCCACGGGGUCACAAAGAGUCGGAUUUGACUUUGCGACUGAACAACAACAAAAUUCUAGUUCCAAAAUCACCGUUUCCUGGUUGUGUGACUUGGAGCAAGUGCCUGUAUCUCGCUGUGUCUGUUUCCCCAUCUGUCACAAGAGGAUAAUAUUCUUUAUAGUGUUUUGUAAAGUUUUAACAGGUUAAUUUGUGCAGGGUGAUUGUAGAUAGAGACUUCUGUACGAAGCAGUUAUUUUCUUCCAGAAUUUUUGUUCUGUGUGUAUUGUUUCUUCAAUAUAGCAAAUGUCUGUUUGAUGUGCACUGCCUCCCUUUCUUCCUUAACAGUGGGACCUCUCUAUUGCUAGGGGCAAGUGGCCUUACUAAAACUACAUUUCCCAGCUUCUUUUGCAGCUAGGGAUGACCAAUAAGAUAUAAACAGAGAUCGUGGGUGAGGUUUCCAGGAAGACUUAAAGUGGGCUGACUCAGCUUUGAGUCACCUCCCCUUUUGCCUCCAACUCCCAUUUCUUAGUGCUUCCUGCCUAGAACUCAGAUGUGAUGGCUGGAGCUUCAAGGACCACUUUGAACACGAGGCAAACGUUGAAGCCUGGGAGACACACGCUGAGAGUGGUGAAACCAAAAGAUAAAAGACAUCUGGGUUCUUGAUGGUAACGCAGCAGCCACACCAAUCCUUGCCUGCCUCACUCUGGACUUGUUUACAUGAUUGGAAAAUAAAUCUGUGCUUAUUGAGGUCCCUGACAUUUUGGCAUCCCAUUACCAGCAGCUGAAUCUAUUUCUAACUGAUACGUUUGCCAAAACGGAAUCAACCUGUGUGGGCUGUUUGUGACCUGCAUUUCUUAGUGAUGCCCCAGUGCUUCCUUGUCUGAGAAUGUUUUAUUGCACAUGAGCUCAAAACAGGAGGUUGCUCUUUGCUUAGAAAGAAUAAUUUCUGUGCAAUGUGGUGGAUUCCCUGUGGUCUUGGAUAGGUCUUGUGACCCAGCCAAUGUUUAGGUAGGCAUGGACUUAAUUGUUCUCCAGUUUUAGGUGCCACAGCGGCAAGUUUGACCCUACCAAGACACGCAAAGUGGGAGAUGGUUGUGUCAAUAUAGCGUUGGUUGAUUUUCCCAAAGAAAUGGGAGAUCCAGAUUUUUAUGUGGAACCAUUUUCUCUCUUAACAGCUUUAUUGGUUUAUAACUGAAAUAGAAUAAACUGCACUUUCCUAAAUUGUGGGGCUUCUUAAGUGGUUCAGUGGUAAAGAAUCCCUGCUAAUGCCAGAGACAGGGGUUCAAUCCCUGAGACAGGAAGAUCCCCUGGAGAAGGAAAUGGCAACCCACUCCAGUAUUCUUGCCUGGGAAAUCCUAUGGACAGAGGAGCCUGGUGGGGCUACUGUCCAUGGGGUCACAAAAAAUGUUGGAUAUGACUUAGCGACUGAAUAGCAGACAAUGGGGUGGCAGGGUUUCUUUUGAUUCGUUUCAGUUGUGGAAGUAACGCACGAAGGAAUCGGUCAGGAACGUGUUCUCCCAGCCUCAGGUGCCUCCCCUGAGACUCUGAACCUCAGUGCCUGUUCGGACAGGCUUGAAUCAGGACCUGGGAAUGGACAGAGUCUCUUCUGCUGAACCCAGUGAGCUCACACCCGGCUCCACACGGUCCUACAUGAGCCACCAGGAGGCCCUCUGUUUGGAAACGGAGACGGCCAGCCCCCCGGCUGCAGCUCACAGAGCCUGCUGGCAGCUGCGCUGGGGCCAGACACCCCACACCACCCCAAACAACCCCUCUGCCCCGAGCGGCGCCCCUGCCUGCCCCACUGAGCCCAUGGUCUGCCAAGGCCAAAAGGCACUUCAGCCAGCCCGCCCGGGGCCAGCCCGGCUGGGGUCUCUGAGAGGCGCUGAGAUCCUGGGGCAGGAACCGGUCUGUCUUGUGGAUCCUGGGCUGCCAGUGUUUAGAACGGCAUCUUGUACUUGCUUCAUUAUUGCUUACGUUUCACCGUGCAGAGUCCUUUUUACCACCCCCACGGAUGUUUCCAGAGCCUCACAUGAAUGGAACGAAAGGGAGACUCUGAGAUGGGAGGGCAGGGUGUCCCCCUGGGCCCUGACAGCUGGAAACACAGCUGGAAAACACAGCUAGACAGUCCACUAUUUUGCCACAACCUCUCAGCUCGAUGAGUCCCUCUUCUCUGGGAGGUGUUUGCUAAACACGCAGAUUCUAGGGUCCUUCGCCCAAGCUCCCACUUUGGGUGCUUUGGAGCAUCCAGAAGUCUGCAAUUGUGAUGGAUUCUGAGCUUAUCCCUGGGUUACAGUCACUGCCACCUUCCUAGACAACUGGAUCCUACAGGUCAGCAGCCCAGAGACUGUGCGAACCUGUGUGGAUACACGUGUAUGUUGGGAGGAUGCGAAAGGACUGGAAGCAACCAGGAUGUCCAUUAGUGGGGGGGGCAAGUUCGCUGGGGCUGGUCUACUCCCUGGAGGACAUAGCAGGCGUUAGAAAUAAGGAAGAAGGCUUUGAUAAGACAAGAUCUCCCAGAUACGGCUAAGUGAAAAAGCAGGUGCAGAACAGUGUCUAUUGUUCCACCACUUGUGUUAAAACAUUCAUAAAAGAAGAGACAUGUGGAUAUACCUGGAUGAUUCUGGAAGGACACCCAAGAAACUGGGACCGGGGUGACCUCUGGGGAAGGAGACCCGGGGUCCAGGAGCAAGAGGGGUACCUUUGUUUAUAUCUGCAUCCCUUCCUGGGUCCUGGGUUCAAAGUCUGACCCUAUUCAGCUGUGUGGCCCUAAGCCCUCUCUGAGUCUCAGUUUCCCCCAACGUGCUUCUAGGGUUGUAAGUUUCCAGCCCUAGCCUGGGCUGGCUGGAGGGCCCGGGCGAGCUGAUCCUGCCUCCCCUUCUGUUUUCCAGGACGCUCAGGGUCAGGCCCCACUUGGCGCAAGGAGGGUGGGUCCCUGGGGAGGGGGUGGCUCCGCAGGGCGGAGCUGAGCUGGAAAAACUGGCAGGGCUGGAGCAGUCAGUGCAGAUAGGUCUUCACUCCUCUGCCUGGGGCCUCUCAGCGUCACUCACUCCCACCCUGCGCCCCCGAGGGGCUGGGACCCGAAGGGCUUCCCUUGACCUGACCCGGGGCUUCGGGCUGGAGACCAGCGGGGAAGGGGAGAGUGCCUGGGCUUUAAGCUGGGGCUAGAGGGCAAGGAGACGGGGAGAGACAGAGAGAGAGAGGACAGAGAGCAGGAGAGAGACACACACACGGGCGCGUGUGUAUGCGCGCGCGCGCACACACACACACACACACAGCCAGGUGCAGCUGAGAGAGGUGAAGAACCAGAGACAGCAGGAGAGACACAGUGGGGAUCUUGGGGCAGGAGUGGGGGCGGCCAGGAGCCUGGGGCCACCCGAGAGGAAGAGCUGAGGUCCAGAGAGGGGAAGUGACUUGCUCAAGGUCCCCGGCCAAGUGGACAAGCUGAGAUUGGAACUUCGUGAUCCAGAGGCCAGAGCUCGCUGCCAGCCCUUCGUGGUGCCAUGAUGGCUCAGCCCUGGAUGGCCUGUUGGAGCGUCAGUCCCUGUGGGUCAAGGAGAUGCCCGUGGCUUGGUCCCGUGUCCCUCUGGCCUGGCAUUAGCCGUAUCACCCGUUGGGAUGGUUGCAAAAUCCCCCUGGCUUUAGCAGUCGAUAAAGAGUGCCCAUUGCAAAACUCA